UACGGAGGGUGCAAGCGUUAUCCGGAUUCACUGGGUUUAAAGGGUGCGUAGGUGGGCAGGAAAGUCAGUGGUGAAAUCUCCGGGCUUAACCCGGAAACUGCCGUUGAUACUAUUUGUCUUGAAUAUUGUGGAGGUAAGCGGAAUAUGUCAUGUAGCGGUGAAAUGCUUAGAUAUGACAUAGAACACCAAUUGCGAAGGCAGCUUACUACACGAUGAUUGACGCUGAGGCACGAAAGCGUGGGGAUCAAACAGG
rnacentral:rRNA from 1 species